rnacentral:rRNA from 2 species
UGGCUCAGAUUGAACGCUGGCGGCAGGCCUAACACAUGCAAGUCGAGCGGUAACAGAGAGUAGCUUGCUACUCUGCUGACGAGCGGCGGACGGGUGAGUAAUGCUUGGGAAUAUGCCUUAUGGUGGGGGACAACAGUUGGAAACGACUGCUAAUACCGCAUGAUGUCUACGGACCAAAGUGGGGGACCUUCGGGCCUCACGCCAUAAGAUUAGCCCAAGUGGGAUUAGCUAGUUGGUGAGGUAAUGGCUCACCAAGGCGACGAUCCCUAGCUGGUUUGAGAGGAUGAUCAGCCACACUGGGACUGAGACACGGCCCAGACUCCUACGGGAGGCAGCAGUGGGGAAUAUUGCACAAUGGGCGCAAGCCUGAUGCAGCCAUGCCGCGUGUGUGAAGAAGGCCUUCGGGUUGUAAAGCACUUUCAGUAAGGAGGAAAGGUUAAGUGUUAAUAGCACUUAGCUGUGACGUUACUUACAGAAGAAGCACCGGCUAACUCCGUGCCAGCAGCCGCGGUAAUACG